rnacentral:rRNA from 1 species
UACAAAGGGGGCUAGCGUUGUUCGGAAUCACUGGGCGUAAAGGGCGCGUAGGCGGCUUGAUAAGUCGGGGGUGAAAGCCUGUGGCUCAACCACAGAAUUGCCUUCGAUACUGUCGAGCUUGAGACCGGAAGAGGUAAGUGGAACUGCGAGUGUAGAGGUGAAAUUCGUAGAUAUUCGCAAGAACACCAGUGGCGAAGGCGGCUUACUGGUCCGGUUCUGACGCUGAGGCGCGAAAGCGUGGGGAGCAAACAGG